AAAUUCGAGUACGCCGAAAGGGAAACAGGUUAAUAUUCCUGUACCUGUAUCAAACAAUCCUGACGCUUUCGGAUAGGCAUUGCGGAGCCAUCGCUCCGUCUAAGCUGGAUAUGAAAUUGGAGUACCGUAAUGGUGAGAAUUUUUCAAAACGGUGAUGGGGUAACAAUGCUGAUUCCAGGAGCCCGUGAAAAGGGUGAUACGGUCCGUACCGAGAACUGACACAGGUGCCCCUCGCUGAGAAGGCGAAGGCGUGUCGGGAGUAAAUGUGUUAAGGGAACUCGGCAAAUUAGCCCUGUAACUUUGGGAUAAGGGGUGCCUGCCCAGCGAUUGGGCAGGUCGCAGUGACAAGAUCGCUCCGACUGUCUAAUAACAACAUAGCAGACUGCAACUCCGAAAGGACUCGUAUAGUCUGUGAUUCCUGCCCAGUGCGAGUAUCUGAACACCGGGUUCAACCGGACGAAGGACUCGUAAACGGCGGGGGUAACAAUGACCCUCUUAAGGUAGCGUAGUACCUUGUCGCUUAAUUGGCGACUUGCAUGAAUGGAAUAACGAGAGCGAUACUGUCCCUAACACAUACCCGUUGAACCUUUUGUACUAGUGCAGAGACUAGUGACUCCUUAUGGGAAGUGAAGACCCCGUGGAGCUUUACUGCAGCCUGUCGUUGGGUUACGGUAUUACCUGCGCAGGGUAGAUGGGAGACGUCGAUCCAACCCUUGUGGGGGUUGGUUAGUCAACGAUGAGACACCAUCCUGGUUUUAUUGUAAUUCUAACUGAUUUAUCAGGACAUCGAUAGGUAGGCAGUUUGGGUGGGGCGCCACACCCUCGAAAAAAUAUCAAGGGUGCCCUAAGGUCAACUCAAGCGGGUCAGAAACCCGCUGAAGAGUGUCAAGAGCAAAAGUUGGCCUGACGCGAUUUCGCAUAGCAAGAAAUCGCGAGAGGAAACUCGGGUCUAACGAACCAAUACGCCCUGUUGAUGAGGGCUAUUGACUACAGAAAAGCUACCCCGGGGAUAACAGAGUCGUCGCCGGCAAGAGCACAUAUCGACCCGGCGGCUUGCUACCUCGAUGUCGGUUCUUUCCAUCCUGGCCGUGCAGCAGCAGCCAAGGGUGAGGUUGUUCGCCUAUUAAAGGGGAUCGUGAGCUGGGUUUAGACCGUCGUGAGACAGGUCGGUUACUAUCUAUAAGGAGUGUUGGAAGUCUGAAGGCAAGAAUGAAAUAGUACGAGAGGAACUUUCAUUCGGCGCCACUGGUCUACCGGUUGUCUGACAAGGCACCGCCGGGCAGCUACGCGCCAAGAGAUAAAAGCUGAAAGCAUCUAAGCUUGAAACUCAGCCUGAACAAGAGACUUCAUUAAAGACACGGGUAAAAGACCCGGUUGAUAGGUUCGGGAUGUACGCACGAAGGCGACGACGUGUUCAGUCCGCGAAUACUAAUUGUCUUAAUAAUU
rnacentral:rRNA from 1 species